CAGCUACUCCCUUCGUCCGGAAAUACUUGUCCUAGGAAUGGCUGUAUCUAGACUUAUUUUAGUGAUAGAUACAUCCAUUUUAUCCCUUUCUAGGACAAGUAUUUCCGGGCGGAGGGAGUACUAU
rfam:Triticum aestivum genome assembly, contig: Triticum_aestivum_CS42_TGACv1_scaffold_471669_6AL